GUCAGCAUGUGACUCGUCAGCCCCAGGAAAGUGGCCUGGUGGAUACAGGAGGGCACCCUUGACUGGAUUCCAUGUCACCUUUUUCUCUUGCCAGGAACGGCUCUGAUGAUUUCCACAGAAUAAAGACUCUGCAACAUGGCAUGGAAGAUGCCUCCACCUGUGGACUCUUGUCUCAUUCAGCCCUGACUUCAAUACUGCCAUGAGAUCCGGCUGCUAUCAACUAUAUGAACAUGGCCAUUCUCUCUCAGACAGACCUCCUUGCCUACAUCCA